UACGUAGGGUGCGAGCGUUGUCCGGAAUUAUUGGGCGUAAAGAGCUCGUAGGCGGUCUGUCGCGUCGAUCGUGAAAACUUGGGGCUUAACCCUGAGCUUGCGGUCGAUACGGGCAUGACUGGAGUUCGGCAGGGGAGACUGGAAUUCCUGGUGUAGCGGUGAAAUGCGCAGAUAUCUGGAAGAACACCAGUGGCGAAGGCGGCUCUCUGGGACGGUACUGACGCUGAGACGCGAAAGCGUGGGGAGCGAACAGG
rnacentral:rRNA from 1 species